UACGAAGGGGGCUAGCGUUGCUCGGAAUCAUUGGGCGUAAAGAGCGUGUAGGCGGCUUGUUAAGUCUUGCGUGAAAUCUCGGGGCUCAACCCCGAGCGGUCGUGAGAAACUGGCAGGCUAGAGUGCGGGAGAGGAGAGUGGAAUUCCUGGUGUAGCGGUGAAAUGCGCAGAUAUCAGGAGGAACACCAAUGGCGAAGGCAGCUCGCUGGAACGGUACUGACGCUGAGGCGCGAAAGCGUGGGGAGCGAACAGG
rnacentral:rRNA from 1 species